rnacentral:misc_RNA from 1 species
ACAUGCGGUGAAUGUGAAUGAU